UGGGGAAUAUUGGACAAUGGGCGCAAGCCUGAUCCAGCCAUGCCGCGUGAGUGACGAAGGCCUUAGGGUUGUAAAGCUCUUUUGGCGGGGAAGAUAAUGACGGUACCCGCAGAAUAAGCUCCGGCUAACUUCGUGCCAGCAGCCGCGGUAAUACGAAGGGAGCUAGCGUUGUUCGGAAUCACUGGGCGUAAAGCGCACGUAGGUGGGCAGUUAAGUCGGGGGUGAAAGCCCGAGGCUCAACCUCGGAAUUGCCUCUGAUACUGGCUGUCUAGAGUUCGAGAGAGGUGAGUGGAAUUCCUAGUGUAGAGGUGAAAUUCGUAGAUAUUAGGAAGAACACCGGUGGCGAAGGCGGCUCACUGGCUCGAUACUGACACUGAGGUGCGAAAGCGUGGGGAGCAAACAGGAUUAGAUACCCCCGUAGUCCCUGAGCGGGCUGGCAAGGCGCAU
rnacentral:rRNA from 1 species